GAAGGCCAUACCCAAUGGACUUCAAGGAGGUUGCUUGAGGCCUUAUUAGAGAUUAGGAUUUCUCUUUUGAAGUCAUUCAAACUUUGGAGGAUAGGAUCAGCAAGUUUAGGAUUUUGAGUACAAAUUGGGUACAAAUUUUGUAUGAUUUGUAGUUUUUAUGAAAGAGUUAUUGGCACUCAAAGUUAAGAUGUCAAUUUUAUACCUACUGCCACACUUUGGGACAUAACAUACAUUUACAGAGAAAAAAAAAGAUCAAUGACUAAGGAUGAAGGUAACACUUUUUUGAUUAUACCUUUCAUAUAUUUUUUGAUGAAUUUGGAGUUUGGAUGA
rnacentral:lncRNA from 1 species